UCCAAACUUGCAAAACAAUGCAACAAUGAUUGAGAAUAUCGUUGCUGCAGUUUGCACUGUUUAUGGCAUUGGUUAUUCCAGCUAUUACCUGACUAACUUGGCAUGUCAUCUGAGAUGUGUGUUCAGAAAUGCCAAAUCUGAGAGCCCAGAACCAAGAGCAGAGUCUUCACUGACUCUCAUAGCUCUUGAAGACGAUGGCAAAGAGGAGGAAGAUGACGUCAAGCUUCCAGCAGUCGUCACAGGACGGAGUGAAUAUUCCAGUCCGGUAAGUGCCACUUUUGGCUGGUGCUGACCUUAGCGCCAGGCAGCGCUGCGAGUUCUUGACCUCCAAGUACGUGCUGCUGGUGGCUGAGGGUGCUGAGUGCUGGAGGCCUGUCAAGAGCUAGCAAUUCUCCCGAGGCAGUGACUGCUUGAGAAGAGAUUUUAAUCUGUCAUGUUUAGGUGCCAGCUUGCUUAGGUUGUGAGAGGG
rnacentral:lncRNA from 12 species